GAUGAACGCUGGCGGUAUGCUUAACACAUGCAAGUCGAACGGUCACUUCGGUGAUAGUGGCGGACGGGUGAGUAACGCGUGAGAAUCUGUCUUCAGGUCGGGGACAACAGUUAGAAAUGACUGCUAAUACCGGAUAUGCCUUAUGGUGAAAGAUUUAUUGCCUGAAAGAGAGCUCGCGUCAGAUUAGCUAGUAGGUGGUGUAAGAGACUACCUAGGCGACGAUCUGUAGCUGGUCUGAGAGGACGAUCAGCCACACUGGAACUGAGACACGGUCCAGACUCCUACGGGAGGCAGUAGUGGGGAAUUUUCCGCAAUGGGCGAAAGCCUGACGGAGCAAUACCGCGUGAGGGGACGAAGGCUUUUUGGGGUCGUAAAACCCUCUUUUUCUCAAGGAAGACACAGGACGGUACUUGAGGAAUAAGCAUCGGCUAACUCUGUGCCAGCAGCCGCGGUAAU
rnacentral:rRNA from 1 species